GACGAACGCUGGCGGCGUGCUUAACACAUGCAAGUCGAACGGAAAGGCCCUGCUCUUGUGGGGUGCUCGAGUGGCGAACGGGUGAGUAACACGUGAGUAACCUGCCCUUGACUUUGGGAUAACUUCAGGAAACUGGGGCUAAUACCGGAUAGGAGCUCCUGCUGCAUGGUGGGGGUUGGAAAGUUGCGGCGGUUGUGGAUGGACUCGCGGCUUAUCAGCUUGUUGGUGGGGUAGUGGCUUACCAAGGCUUUGACGGGUAGCCGGCCUGAGAGGGUGACCGGGCACAAGGGGACUGAGAGACGGACCAGAGUCCUACGGGAGGCAGCAGUGGGGAGUAUUGCACAAUGGGCGGAAGCCUGAUGCAGAAGCGCCGCGUGCGGGAUGACGGCCUUCGGGUUGUAAACCGCUUUCGCCUGUGACGAAGCGUGAGUGACGGUAAUGUGUAAAGAAGCACCGGCUAACUACGUG
rnacentral:rRNA from 1 species